CUCAUUCGGCUGUGUGUCAGCGGUUGGUCUGGCUGGUUUUGCCUUGGACUCUACUCUGGAUCUGUUGUGGUCUGCUGGCUGUGGCCGGGCUGGCCUGCGUCUCAUGUUCAGCUUAAGUGAGCUGAUUUUGUCUGCUCCCUGGAUGGUAUCAUCUGGCUGUGUCUCCUUCCUCCCUGCAUGAGGGGGAGCUUGUCACCUGGCAUAGAGGUUGACUGUGCGCUGCAGCGUGUCGUCCCUUCCCGCAGUGCUCCUGGCUACACUGCUGUCUUGUCUAGAUUCGGGGUUUGGCUCACCCUGGGUUUUAUUAAUCUUAAUUGCUGCUUUUAAGAACUGCCAGUCCUGUGUCUUCUCACCCUGGAAUCCAGCAAUACGCCUGGCUCACCAGUUGUGGUUCCAGGGGGCGAACGUUAGGACCUCACCUACUCUGGUGACUAAGGGCAAGAUUGAGCUCGUUGGUCCCACGGUACAGCCUGCUUCCUGGACUUUUGUGUGGCUUUAUUUUUGUUUGUUUGCUGUGGUUUGAAUUGUGUUGUAUUAAUUUUUGUCCAUUUUUCAGGUUGUUCGUUGUUUACCUCCCAGUUCUCCACCCCUUGGUACCAAGUGGUUGAAUUCUUUUAAUUGUUUUAGUAGCUACUGUUAAUAAACUAAUUUUUAAGGUCAAUCACAUUCUGUUGUCCUGGUGCAUCGG